rnacentral:lncRNA from 1 species
UGUACUAGGGCAAAGAAAUGCUGACUCCAUUAAAUAUCAUCACGUUUUGAUGAAAAUAUCUCAUUUUUAAUGCAUCGGAUGAAAUCUGAAUCACCACCACCAUAUCAACACUCCAAACCCAAAAACAAAAAUCCAAAUUUGCUUGAUCACUGUUUUUAAUAUUUAUUUUUAAAGAGUUGUCUUCAACACUUUAUAACAUACCACUUCCACAAUAAUAAAAAAUCAGGAAUUGUCUUCAACUUUUAAUACGAAGCAUUAAAUCUCAAAAGUGCAACACUUUAUAUUUUGGGUACGUAGGACCAAAG